UACGGAGGGAGCUAGCGUUGUUCGGAAUUACUGGGCGUAAAGCGCACGUAGGCGGCUUUGUAAGUUAGAGGUGAAAGCCCGGGGCUCAACUCCGGAACUGCCUUUAAGACUGCAUCGCUUGAAUCCGGGAGAGGUGAGUGGAAUUCCGAGUGUAGAGGUGAAAUUCGUAGAUAUCUGGAGGAACACCGGUGGCGAAGGCGGCAUCCUGGACCGGUAUUGACGGCUGAGGCGCGAAAGCCA
rnacentral:rRNA from 1 species